GUGCUCACUUUAGCAGCACAAAUAAUAAAAUCAGAAAGAUGCAGAGAAGAUUAGCAUGCCCCCUGCACAAGGAUGACAUGCAAAUUCAUGAAGUGUUCCAUAUUUUU
rfam:Chlorocebus sabaeus isolate 1994-021 chromosome 13, whole genome shotgun sequence.